AUCAUUUAACUAUAUAAGUGUAUAUUUUGAAAAUAUAAAAAAGAUAAAUUCUAAUGAUUU
rnacentral:tRNA from 1 species